rnacentral:rRNA from 1 species
GACGAACGCUGGCGGCGUGCCUAAUACAUGCAAGUUGAGCGCUGAAGGUUGGUACUUGUACUGACUGGAUGAGCAGCGAACGGGUGAGUAACGCGUGGGGAAUCUGCCUUUGAGCGGGGGACAACAUUUGGAAACGAAUGCUAAUACCGCAUAAAAACUUUAAACACAAGUUUUAAGUUUGAAAGAUGCAAUUGCAUCACUCAAAGAUGAUCCCGCGUUGUAUUAGCUAGUUGGUGAGGUAAAGGCUCACCAAGGCGAUGAUACAUAGCCGACCUGAGAGGGUGAUCGGCCACAUUGGGACUGAGACACGGCCCAAACUCCUACGGGAGGCAGCAGUAGGGAAUCUUCGGCAAUGGACGAAAGUCUGACCGAGCAACGCCGCGUGAGUGAAGAAGGUUUUCGGAUCGUAAAACUCUGUUGGUAGAGAAGAACGUUGGUGAGAGUGGGAAGCUCAUCAAGUGACGGUAACUACCCAGAAAGGGACGGCUAACUACGUG